ensembl:lncRNA
GUGCUUUCUUAAUGGCUGUGGGUCACCCAACCAAGAAUUUGGUGUACUUAAUUUGCCGCAUGCCUUCCUUCUCAGGAGGCCUGGCUUCAUAAUCCACAGGACCAUGAGCUCCCUGGAGCAUACAGCUUCAACAUUUCCAGAAUUUUGACAUCUGUCUGGUAGUGAGUUCUCCUCCACCCCUUGCACCACCGCUAGCUUCUCUCCUGCUCGCAUCCUUAGCCUCGGAGGAGUGACAAUUGCACUGGAAUCCCUGGAUUUCAUCCCUCAUCCCUGGUGAAGAUAAAGCUAAUUGUACAAAGCUGCGUUUGCCCUGCCGGAACCUCACCCCCUGCACCUCUGGAAAAGACACGGAAGCUGCUCAUCACCUUCGCCUGAGAUCAGCCCCAUCAGCACCUGUCUGAGCUAUAAGAAUCCCAGAGCAUAGCUCCUACUGAGUCUAAUUCCCAAAGUGGGGUAUCGUGUUAUCUCGUCCAGCCUCCCGGUCCCAUCGAUGAAGAUGCUUCCUCCCACAGGUGGGAAGUGACAGGUGCAAGGUCCUCACUGGGUUUUGCCAUUUGACAAAGUCAAGAGAAAAACCCCAUGACCCCAGUAGUGGCCUCACCCCACACCCCAACCUCCUCUGAUUGUAUGACCUCCUUCCUAUUGGUACUGCUCCACUGCGGAAGGAGGUGGGAUGUGAUGAUAGACUGAGCUCCCACGCAUAACCCGGAGGGCCCUGUCUUCAAAGACUACGACUGUGAACAUCUAUUCUUCGUGACUCAGAGGGCAGGUCCGAGCCUUACGUUACUCAAGGCAUUAGCCAUGAACGGCUUGUUGGAGACGAAAUCCGUAUGCAAACCCCCCCCUUUCCUGUCAUUUAAUACUCACGUAACUUUGUACAGAUCGCGUAAUCUUCCAGAAGCCCAGCCUUCCUGAGGAAUGGACAGGUGAUCUCUGCCAGACUCGGAGAGUCAUUGUGAGCACGGACUUCCCACACGAGACGGCGCAGAGAGGUGUACGUGUUAGCUGCUAUUGUGGUGGAAGGGUCAAAGCUUAUAGCUGGUGUGGUGAAAGAACAAGUAUCAUCCGUUUAUUGUUGUCUUGAUUGCAUCUGCAAGUCUACUUCUGAUGAUGAUGGAGCCAUCCGGGANUUUUAUUGUCUUGAUUGCAUCUGCAAGUCUACUUCUGAUGAUGAUGGAGCCAUCCGGGAAGAAGAAGUUGUCAGAAAUAGGGGGACUGGACUUCUGUGAGCUCCGAUAUUGAGAAUCCACACUUCCCAUUGGCUACCCAGUGCCCACUCCCCCAGCGGAGACCCUGCUCUGCCCACCCUGAAAGCCCAGCCGUGCCCCCAUCCCCACCGUCAGCGGCCAGGAGGAAGAUGGUGCUGGGGGCACAGCAUAGACUUCGAUGACGACAUGAAGGCAGCAUGAGUUGGAACGGCUCUGUGAAAAGGAGCAAGGGCCAAGCCCGACUGAGCCAUCUCUGCUGACAAGAGCCUCACCAUGAAACUCUGAAAACUACUCAGUUUUCUUAUAAACUGGGAGAGAAGUUUGAAGACACUGCAGCUAAUGGCAGAAACACUGCGAUCUGCAAUCUUAAAGUGGCACAUGGGUGUCACGUCUUGCUGGCAAUGUCACAACAAGACAAGUGGAAGGUGGGGAAGGCAUUAUGAACGAUGUCACCAGGACUCCGAUCUGUGAAAAGGCAGACUGAAAAUUUUAUCACCACUUUUGACGAGAUUUAGUUGUGAAGAUAAACAAGCUCUGCUCUAAUCUCCAUACUGCCGCUUCUUUGGUUUCAUUCCUGUGUUCAAUCAUCUUUAUCACCAGCAUUCUCUAGGCAACUAUUUCAAAAUGUCAGUUUAAUUAGGAUCAGGCCCUUGGUUAGUAAAUAAAUGUAUUUUUGCUUUAAAAAAAAAAUUACGA